rnacentral:rRNA from 1 species
GGGUUGUGAGGUUAAGCGACUAAGCGUACACGGUGGAUGCCCUGGCAGUCAGAGGCGAUGAAGGACGUGCUAAUCUGCGAUAAGCGUCGGUAAGGUGAUAUGAACCGUUAUAACCGGCGAUUUCCGAAUGGGGAAACCCAGUGUGUUUCGACACACUAUCAUUAACUGAAUCCAUAGGUUAAUGAGGCGAACCGGGGGAACUGAAACAUCUAAGUACCCCGAGGAAAAGAAAUCAACCGAGAUUCCCCAGUAGCGGCGAGCGAACGGGGAGGAGCCCAGAGCCUGAAUCAGUGUGUGUGUUAGUGGAAGCGUCUGGAAAGGCGCGCGAUACAGGGUGACAGCCCCGUACACAAAAAUGCACAUGCUGUGAGCUCGAUGAGUAGGGCGGGACACGUGGUAUCCUGUCUGAAUAUGGGGGGACCAUCCUCCAAGGCUAAAUACUCCUGACUGACCGAUAGUGAACCAGUACCGUGAGGGAAAGGCGAAAAGAACCCCGGCGAGGGGAGUGAAAAAGAACCUGAAACCGUGUACGUACAAGCAGUGGGAGCACGCUUAGGCGUGUGACUGCGUACCUUUUGUAUAAUGGGUCAGCGACUUAUAUUCUGUAGCAAGGUUAACCGAAUAGGGGAGCCGAAGGGAAACCGAGUCUUAACUGGGCGUUAAGUUGCAGGGUAUAGACCCGAAACCCGGUGAUCUAGCCAUGGGCAGGUUGAAGGUUGGGUAACACUAACUGGAGGACCGAACCGACUAAUGUUGAAAAAUUAGCGGAUGACUUGUGGCUGGGGGUGAAAGGCCAAUCAAACCGGGAGAUAGCUGGUUCUCCCCGAAAGCUAUUUAGGUAGCGCCUCGUGAAUUCAUCUCCGGGGGUAGAGCACUGUUUCGGCAAGGGGGUCAUCCCGACUUACCAACCCGAUGCAAACUGCGAAUACCGGAGAAUGUUAUCACGGGAGACACACGGCGGGUGCUAACGUCCGUCGUGAAGAGGGAAACAACCCAGACCGCCAGCUAAGGUCCCAAAGUCAUGGUUAAGUGGGAAACGAUGUGGGAAGGCCCAGACAGCCAGGAUGUUGGCUUAGAAGCAGCCAUCAUUUAAAGAAAGCGUAAUAGCUCACUGGUCGAGUCGGCCUGCGCGGAAGAUGUAACGGGGCUAAACCAUGCACCGAAGCUGCGGCAGCGACGCUUAUGCGUUGUUGGGUAGGGGAGCGUUCUGUAAGCCUGUGAAGGUGUGCUGUGAGGCAUGCUGGAGGUAUCAGAAGUGCGAAUGCUGACAUAAGUAACGAUAAAGCGGGUGAAAAGCCCGCUCGCCGGAAGACCAAGGGUUCCUGUCCAACGUUAAUCGGGGCAGGGUGAGUCGACCCCUAAGGCGAGGCCGAAAGGCGUAGUCGAUGGGAAACAGGUUAAUAUUCCUGUACUUGGUGUUACUGCGAAGGGGGGACGGAGAAGGCUAUGUUGGCCGGGCGACGGUUGUCCCGGUUUAAGCGUGUAGGCUGGUUUUCCAGGCAAAUCCGGAAAAUCAAGGCUGAGGCGUGAUGACGAGGCACUACGGUGCUGAAGCAACAAAUGCCCUGCUUCCAGGAAAAGCCUCUAAGCAUCAGGUAACAUCAAAUCGUACCCCAAACCGACACAGGUGGUCAGGUAGAGAAUACCAAGGCGCUUGAGAGAACUCGGGUGAAGGAACUAGGCAAAAUGGUGCCGUAACUUCGGGAGAAGGCACGCUGAUAUGUAGGUGAAGCGACUUGCUCGUGGAGCUGAAAUCAGUCGAAGAUACCAGCUGGCUGCAACUGUUUAUUAAAAACACAGCACUGUGCAAACACGAAAGUGGACGUAUACGGUGUGACGCCUGCCCGGUGCCGGAAGGUUAAUUGAUGGGGUCAGCGCAAGCGAAGCUCUUGAUCGAAGCCCCGGUAAACGGCGGCCGUAACUAUAACGGUCCUAAGGUAGCGAAAUUCCUUGUCGGGUAAGUUCCGACCUGCACGAAUGGCGUAAUGAUGGCCAGGCUGUCUCCACCCGAGACUCAGUGAAAUUGAACUCGCUGUGAAGAUGCAGUGUACCCGCGGCAAGACGGAAAGACCCCGUGAACCUUUACUAUAGCUUGACACUGAACAUUGAGCCUUGAUGUGUAGGAUAGGUGGGAGGCUUAGAAGUGUGGACGCCAGUCUGCAUGGAGCCGACCUUGAAAUACCACCCUUUAAUGUUUGAUGUUCUAACGUUGACCCGUAAUCCGGGUUGCGGACAGUGUCUGGUGGGUAGUUUGACUGGGGCGGUCUCCUCCUAAAGAGUAACGGAGGAGCACGAAGGUUGGCUAAUCCUGGUCGGACAUCAGGAGGUUAGUGCAAUGGCAUAAGCCAGCUUGACUGCGAGCGUGACGGCGCGAGCAGGUGCGAAAGCAGGUCAUAGUGAUCCGGUGGUUCUGAAUGGAAGGGCCAUCGCUCAACGGAUAAAAGGUACUCCGGGGAUAACAGGCUGAUACCGCCCAAGAGUUCAUAUCGACGGCGGUGUUUGGCACCUCGAUGUCGGCUCAUCACAUCCUGGGGCUGAAGUAGGUCCCAAGGGUAUGGCUGUUCGCCAUUUAAAGUGGUACGCGAGCUGGGUUUAGAACGUCGUGAGACAGUUCGGUCCCUAUCUGCCGUGGGCGCUGGAGAACUGAGGGGGCUGCUCCUAGUACGAGAGGACCGGAGUGGACGCAUCACUGGUGUUCGGGUUGUCAUGCCAAUGGCACUGCCCGGUAGCUAAAUGCGGAAGAGAUAAGUGCUGAAAGCAUCUAAGCACGAAACUUGCCCCGAGAUGAGUUCUCCCUGACCCUUUAAGGGUCCUGAAGGAACGUUGAAGACGACGACGUUGAUAGGCCGGGUGUGUAAGCGCAGCGAUGCGUUGAGCUAACCGGUACUAAUGAACCGUGAGGCUUAACCUUACAACGCCGAAGCUGUU